AUUUAACGCUGGCGGAAUGCUUUACACAUGCAAGUCGAACGGCAGCACGGACUUCGGUCUGGUGGCGAGUGGCGAACGGGUGAGUAAUGUAUCGGAACGUGCCCAGUCGUGGGGGAUAACGUAGUGAAAAUUACGCUAAUACCGCAUACGAUCUAUGGAUGAAAGCGGGGGAUCGCAAGACCUCGCGCGAUUGGAGCGGCCGAUAUCAGAUUAGGUAGUUGGUGGGGUAAAGGCCCACCAAGCCAACGAUCUGUAGCUGGUCUGAGAGGACGACCAGCCACACUGGAACUGAGACACGGUCCAGACUCCUACGGGAGGCAGCAGUGGGGAAUUUUGGACAAUGGGCGAAAGCCUGAUCCAGCCAUUCCGCGUGCAGGAUGAAGGCCCUCGGGUUGUAAACUGCUUUUGUACAGAACGAAAAGGUCUCUACUAAUACUAGGAGCUCAUGACGGUACUGUAAGAAUAAGCACCGGCUAACUACGUGCCAGCCGCCGCAGUAA
rnacentral:rRNA from 1 species